UAGCUUUUUUACACCCGUGUACAACUUCCUUCAUAUCUCACAAAGUAAUUAUUCAAAUACUAUGAAACUUUGAUCUAAAGCUUCUUAAUCCAAUUACACACACUUGUAGAAAUUUUGAGCCAAAAAUUCGUCCAGACACUCAAGAUAUGGCUUCAUCCAUAACUAGCAAAAAAAUGAUAUACUUACUGCCUUCAAAUUACAAGUGCUGUCUUCAACGCCUCAUAACUCCUUCACCCAAUCUUAGAAUUCACUAUACAGUAAGUAGAAUGUGUAGCCAAGAAAAUGCUCCCUCCAAAUCCAGUCGCCGAUCUUCUGUUGCUCUCCGUAUUCGUAUGUGAUGCCCAAAAGAAGUGACAGUAGAUACGAAAUUGAUACCUUAUCUUUGAACAUUCAUAUCUUUUCCAUAAAAACUCGAAAUCACACAAAAUCUUCACCCAAAUUAUACCCAAAACCCUAAACCUUCUGACUCUAGCCUCAAAAGCUCGAAUGGCCUCGAAAGAGGAACCCUAAUUCCUAAUAUGGCCUCGGGCAGCCUCCUCAAAGCCCAUUAGGCAUGGUAUUCGACCAAUAGGGAUGAAGUUCUUCACCCCUUGCCUUCAUCCAACCAUGCCUUACUUUCAUCCUUCCCAAUA
rnacentral:lncRNA from 1 species